AGCGAACGCUGGCGGCAGGCCUAACACAUGCAAGUCGAACGAACCUUUCGGGGUUAGUGGCGGACGGGUGAGUAACACGUGGGAACGUGCCUUUAGGUUCGGAAUAACUCAGGGAAACUUGUGCUAAUACCGAAUGUGCCCUUCGGGGGAAAGAUUAAUCGCCUUUAGAGCGGCCCGCGUCUGAUUAGCUAGUUGGUUGAGGUAAUGGCUCACCAAGGCGACGAUCAGUAGCUGGUCUGAGAGGAUGAUCAGCCACAUUGGGACUGAGACACGGCCCAAACUCCUACGGGAGGCAGCAGUGGGGAAUCUUGCGCAAUGGGCGAAAGCCUGACGCAGCCAUGCCGCGUGAAUGAUGAAGGUCUUAGGAUUGUAAAAUUCUUUCACCAGGGACGAUAAUGACGGUACCCGGAGAAGAAGCCCCGGCUAACUUCGUG
rnacentral:rRNA from 1 species